rnacentral:rRNA from 1 species
UCGGGAAUUUUGGGCAAUGGGCGAAAGCCUGACCCAGCAACGCCGCGUGAGGGAUGAAGUAUUUCGGUAUGUAAACCUCGAAAGAAUGGGAAGAAUAAAUGACGGUACCAUUUAUAAGCUCCGGCUAACUACGUGCCAGCAGCCGCGGUAAUACGUAGGGAGCAAGCGUUGUUCGGAUUUACUGGGCGUAAAGGGCGCGUAGGCGGCGCGGUAAGUCACUUGUGAAAUCUCUGAGCUUAACUCAGAACGGCCAAGUGGUACUGCUGUGCUAGAGUGCGGAAGAGGCAACCGGAAUUCUUGGUGUAGCGGUGAAAUGCGUAGAUAUCAAGAGGAACACCUGAGGCGAAGGCGGGUUGCUGGGCCGACACUGACGCUGAUGCGCGAAAGCCAGGGGAGCAAACG